rnacentral:lncRNA from 1 species
AGAAUAGUUACCUCAUUAACAAGUGCGUAAGUCAUUGCUUGAAGUUACGCUGAAUGUAAUUAUCAGUAGUUGUCAUUAAGGGCAGUCUAUUAUAGAAAGUUACCUAACUAACAACUAUAGUGUAAUUGUCAGUAGCUGUCAAUAAAACCAUAUUUUUACUCCACACUUCAAACAUUUAUUUACCAUCGUCGAUCGAGAAGAAACGGACACACGGCAUUAGAAAACAAUUCGAACCUGAUAUUUACAUCGAAUUGUCCAGUUGGUCCUUCGACAAAACAACAUCAAAAGGGCGUUAAUUGGAUUGGAGCUUCGAAGGAGACGACCCUUAGCCACCUGAAUAGCUGUUCUCCAGUUCCGUACAAGAUCGUCGAUUGAAUUCGAAGUGUGGAGAAAAGAAAAAAAUAAAAACCAGACCAGAAAGCACCGAAAUUAGGAGUAGGAGCCUUACGAGAACCUUUGAGCACCAGAGAACCUAAAUAGCAGUCCUUAAGUCUACUGUUCGACUGUUCCAGCUGUUUGGAGGUGAAAAAUCUAGCGGCAUCCAGAGAUCCAGCUCACCAGUUCCAGUUGCAGUUUUAAGUAGGAGCGGUUUCCAGGCCCACCCGGUGAAAUACAAGUGAACGUCGGGAUAAAACUAACUUACAAAAUGAAUUGUCCAGCCGUUUCGAGCUACUGAGACAGGUGCUUUUCUACAAAUUAAACAAUUACUGAAGAAACAUAAAAAUCAUGAAAUGUCAGAAGUGGUAUACGAUUAUUUGCCCAUAAACCGUAAGCUAAACUCUAACUUACUAACAAAAUAUUGUCGAGGAAUUUAAUGUAUGUUCGUGGCAAUUAAAAGCUAAUUCAACAAAAAAUGUGUUCAACUGGAAAAUUAAGCACAAUGAAAGAUCUAUCCAACAUUGCAUAUGGUAUGAAAAGUGCUAUUUAGUAAUAAUUUAGAACAGUAGUAAAGGAGUUGAAAGAUAUUUACAAAUGCAAUUUUUACAUUUUACAUGGUUCUCUAAUUCAAUUUAAAGCUCUAUAUUUUUCUACUGAUUCCACGAGGAGAGCAAUUAAAUCCUGGAAUGAAUUUGUCUCUGUAGAUGCUACAUAAUAUGAGUUAGUAAUACUAAGAAUUACUGGGUUUAUAAUGCUAGUUGAAGAUUCGAAGGGCAAGAGUGAAAUCGCUGCCGUGGCCUUAACUGCACACGAAGACAAAGAAACAUUUUCCUGGUUUACGAAUAUUUUUAAAGAGAAUUCUAUUUGUGAAAAUCAAAUAAAGUGUUAUAUGGAUUAACUACAAA